UACGUAGGUGGCAAGCGUUGUCCGGAUUUACUGGGCGUAAAGAGCGUGUAGGCGGCCUGAAAGGUCAGCUGUGAAAACUCGAGGCUCAACCUCGAGACGUCGGUUGAAACCAUCUGGCUAGAGUCCGGAAGAGGAGUGUGGAAUUCCCGGUGUAGCGGUGAAAUGCGCAGAUAUCGGGAAGAACACCCGUGGCGAAGGCGGCACUCUGGGACGGUACUGACGCUGAGACGCGAAAGCGUGGGGAGCGAACAGG
rnacentral:rRNA from 1 species